GACGAACGCUGGCGGCGUGCUUAACACAUGCAAGUCGAACAGUGGCGAACGGGUGAUUAACACGUGAGUAACCUGCCCUCCACUCUGGGAUAACUCCGAGAAAUCGGGGCUAAUACUGGAAAGUGGGGGAUGGGCUCGCGGCCUUUCAGUGUGUUGGUGAGGUAGUGGUCACCAAGGCGUGACGGGUAGCCGGCCUGCGAGGGCGACAGGCCCCACUGGGACUGAGGAACGGGGCAGAAUGCUACGGGAGGCAGCAGUGGGGAAUAUUGCACAAUGGGCGAAAGCCUGAGGCAGCGACGCCGCGAGGGGGAUGACGGCCUGCGGGUUGUAAACAUCUUUCAGAAAGGAAGCGGUACUUGCAGAAGAAGCGCCGGCUAACUACGUGCCAGCAGCCGCGGUAAUUC
rnacentral:rRNA from 1 species